rnacentral:rRNA from 1 species
UCGCGGAUCAGCAUGCCGCGGUGAAUACGUUCCCGGGCCUUGUACACACCGCCCGUCACACCAUGAGAGUCGGGAACACCCGAAGUCCGUAGCCUAACCGCAAGGAGGGCGCGGCCGAAGGUGGGUUCGAUAAUUGGGGUGAAGUCGUAACAAGGUACC